GAUGUCCUACGGGGCGCAGCAGUGAGGAAUAUUGGUCAAUGGACGAGAGUCUGAACCAGCCACGUAGCGUGAAGGAUGACUGCCCUAUGGGUUGUAAACUUCUUUUAUAUGGGAAUAAAACGUUCCACGUGUGGGAUUUUGUAUGUACUUUAUGAAUAAGGAUCGGCUAACUCCGUGCCAGCAGCCGCGGUAAUACGGAGGAUCCGAGCGUUAUCCGGAUUUAUUGGGUUUAAAGGGAGCGUAGAUGGGUUGUUAAGUCAGUUGCGAAAGUUUGCG
rnacentral:rRNA from 1 species